GUACAAUUAGCAUCCGCCAGGGAACUACGAGCACUAGCUUAAAACCCAAAGGACUUGGCGGUGCCUCAGACCCCCCUAGAGGAGCCUGUUCUAGAACCGAUAAUCCCCGUUUAACCUCACCACCCCUUGCCCCUUCCGCCUAUAUACCACCGUCGCCAGCUUACCCUGUGAAGGAAUUAGUAAGCAAAAUGGAAAUUUUCCAGAACGUCAGGUCGAGGUGUAGCACACGGAGUGGGAAGAAAUGGGCUACAUUGCCUAAUAUAGACUACUACGGAAAGUCGCCUGAAAGGGCUAUUUUAAGGUGGAUUUAGCAGUAAAAGGGGAAUAGAGAGCCC
rnacentral:rRNA from 1 species